rnacentral:sRNA from 1 species
GCCAGGUGCUGUGGUGCACAUCUGUAAUCCUAGUGGCUCUGGAGGCUGAGGCAGGAGGAUAGAGAGUUUGAGGCCAACCUCAGCAAUUUAGCAAGGCCCUAAGUAACUCAUCAAGAUCCUGUCUCUA